GUGUCCAGCCCUGACCCUUCUGUCCACUCUGCUGCUCGUGUUUGUGCUUUAUUCAGAAUGCUGUAAACAAGACAUGAAAAGAGCAGAACCCAGAGUUCAGAUGAGCCAGAGCGAGGAUGGAGAUGUGUGUUACGCUGCUUUAGAAAUCCGCCAAGCAUCACAAAGACCAAAGAGAAAGAAAAAGACCCCCAACUCUGAUUUCAGCACAUAUUCUGCCAUCAAAACCUCUCAAGAAUGAAAUGCAAAGAAUUACUGAAAAAUAGAUUUGUCAUGUCUUGUUGAUGUCUCAAACUGUAUAUUUCCUUGACAUAACUUCAUAACUUUACAUUAGUUCAUUUGAACCAACCUACAUUUUUUGCAUCUUUUUAACAAAUGAAUGUAAAACUUAUUUGCCACUGCCCAGAAGUUGUGAACAAUUGUUUCUAAAAGUGAGGCCAUGCAGAGCUUCUUAUUUGGAUUCUUUAUAUCUGCUAUUUGAACUAAACAAUGUAGAGUUUGCUAUCAGGGUAUAUUUUUUUAAACGGAUAGUCAUCCUGGAUGUCAAUUUAACCUUAAAAUGUUUACUCAUUCUGUAAAACUUUUUUUUUUUAAUAUUCAUGUAACAAAAGCAAUUGUACUAUAUUGUGCAUCCGUAUCAGCAUGGGGAAGCAGCUGGUUGAGCAUUUGAGCGCUCGUGCCUGUCCUGGACCCAUGUUAUAUUUUACAUCAUGUCUUCUCCAUUAAGGCACAUUAGUUCCUGUUUUGUCACCUUGCUUUCUCUGUAACCUGAUGUAUGCAUGUUAUUUGAAAAUUAUGCUAUGUUUUAAAUACAUUAGUAAUUGUGUGGCUCAUUUAUAAAAACAA